rnacentral:lncRNA from 1 species
CCUCAGUGUGAGUGAUUUGUGGCUGUAGCUCGGCAGAUGAGGCAGACCACCUGUGCAAUUCUUAGGUGAGAAUAAGAUCUCUCCACUCCUGCCUCCCAGUCACCUUAAUUUUCCUCACCCUCCUGUUGUUCCCUGUUAACCUCUGGAUCUACGAGCUGAAGAAGAAUAUAUCGGUUCCCAUCGGCUGGAGCUAUUUCAUUGGUUGGCUCGUGCUCAUUCUGUAUUUAACUUGUGGGAUCCUUUGUUACCUCAACCAUAAAAACUUCUGGAGCCUGAUUAUGAGCAGCUCCUCCAUCAACGCUACUUGCAGCAGCUCAGUGCCAGUGUCUCUGAUGAAUACCUCACAGAUCUCCAAAAGCCAGGCGGACAUCCUGGAUCCUACUCAGGAUGACCAAAAGCCAUUAAGUUCAGAUAACAUCGCCUUACCACCCAACCCAGACACCACUGACUAGGUCUACACUCAUCAUAACAAAGGACGAGAAGAGGAGGAUUUGGGGACCAGCUUUGCUCUCCUCUGCCUCAGCAUGGCCUUGUCUGUGGCUCAGGUGAUGUGGAAUAAAUUGCCCGUGUCUUCAUCCUGUCUGACGGUUGUCGAGGAGAACUAGAGGAGGGAGAGUAAGGGAGAAAAAACAAAACUCGCUGUGUUUGUUUCCCAGUUCUUCGUGCCUAUGAACUUUUUGGAUCCGGUUUGUCCCAGCAUCCUCUGCUGUAGCGCGCCUGUGCAUACACAAGAGGGACUCCAUGGUGCAGACACUUACCUGUCAUUCACAAGAAUUUGGGUUUGCACUGAAAACUGAAAAACAAAAGUAAAUCUAGCCAGGCUCUGGUGGCACAUACCUAUAAUGCCAGGAGGCUGAGGCAGGAGGAUGGCCAGCCUGAGAGCUCUGUGAGACUAUGUCCUCAGAAACAAAAAUAAAAUAUAACCAGCUUUUUAACCAGC